GACCUGGAGGACUAUUGGUUAGGCCUCGGUGCUCUCACUGCCGUGGCCUGGGUUCGAUUCCCUGCCAGGGAA
rnacentral:tRNA from 2 species